GGCGCGGCGGCGUGCCCGCCCCCGCCCGCCGCUCGGCGCCUCACCAUUGGCCGCGGCGCCCCCCCGCCCGGCUGCCCGGCGUCCCGCGAUUGGCCGCGCCGUGCGCUUAAAAGGCGCGGCCAAUGGCUGCGAGCGGCAGAAGCCGGGGCGCGGGCGGGCGGCCGGGGGUCGCGGGCUAGUGGGCUAAGGGCCUGGGCGUCCUUGGGCUGGCGGGGAUGUCGGGGUCCAGGUUGCCAGACGGGCCAGAGGCCGACGACCCAGAGGACAAGACGGGCGGGGACCGCGGCCGGGGCCUGGUGGGGGCGGCAGCAAUGACUGGCUCUUUGUCUCCGCUUGCUCCAAAAUGGCUGCGGCCAGAGCUGACGGGAUCGCCGGGCGGGCGGGCGGGCGGACGGGCGAGGGAGCGGGGACGCCUAUAUCGGCGCUAAAGCCGCUGCAGCCCGCGGGAACCCGGCACCCCAUGAGGGCACUGCCUGGGGGCCGGAUCAGCGAGGUAGCCUGGGCGUCGUCGCCAUUGUUCCCGGGCGGGCGCAGGCCCCGAAGCCCGGGCCACCGGGCGGGGCGAGCGCUGGCCUGUCCCCCGGACCGGCGCCUCGGUCCGCCCGAGACCGGGCGUCUCGCGCCUUGAGGUCCGUAGCUUGGGCGACGGGGGCGGGGCAGGGGUCGGCGCCCGAGGCCACGCCAGAGUGACUCAUCUCCUCCGGCGGCGCGGCCCCUGGCCGCGAGUGUCUGUAAAUCACUGGGUGAGACGGUGGUGCCGGCUGGGACCAGCAGCUUGCGUAGGGAAAGGGAGCGUCCAGCUUGGAGGUCUUCCUGGGGUCCUUAUCUCCCGUUCUGUCCUUUUGAUGAAAAAAUGUUACGUGAGCCAAACAAAAGCAGGCCCCAGGUGCCGUAGUGGGAAACAGAGGUACACCGUGGUCUGCACUCAGAACACCCAGAUCGGAGUCGGGACAGAAGAGUAACAGCCGUGCUACGAGGCAAAUCACUGACUGACGCGAGACGGUGAGGCCCGGGGGGGUGGGGUCCCUCUCGCCCGCCCCUGUAGUUACUGUGAUCUAAAGUGAAGGGAGCAGGUGGUACCGUCUCGGGCCCCUCCUGCUUUCCCACAGAGGCCCGCCCGCCAGGACCCCUCCAACCCUGGGGCCCCUCCCCCGCCCAGGCCUCCUCGCCGCAGCGGUGCUGACAUCACCCCCAGCGUCCUCCGGGGCGCCCUCCGGUCCGGCAGGAAGUGGGAGGUGAAGCGUCGGUGCACCGUCUUCCCUGCCCACCCCGCUCCGCCGCGACUCCGCUUCCAGACCGGGUCUCUACGCCCCAAGGGAAGGUGGGGGCUACCGACGGCUUAGGCAGCUCUGACGCCCUGCAGAGACCUGCCCCCCUGGAGAGUGGGGGAGGGGCGGUAGCCACGUGGCUCCUCCCCUCCUCCCUAUGGGGGGCGGGGAGAUGCUGCCAGACUGUUAACCUUGGCCACCCUGGGGACUGGAGCAUUUUCUUUGAAUAUCUCUGCGUGGUUUUGUUCCCACAAGAAGCUUCCGUAUGACUUACGUAGCUUGAAACAAAAAUUCCACCUAGCAUGAAAAGAAAAACGGGCCUGAAAACGAGUGUCAAUAUACAAACCAGGUUUAAACAUGGAAAAAUGUUUGCUGUUAAGUGAGAAUUCCAGAACCCCAAAACAGUAUAUCAUUGCCACCCACAGCGGUGCAAACGUCCAAGGCCAUGAGCAAAAAGGAGACCUCCCAGGCUGGCAGCUGUGUGGGACUAUCGGGUUUAUUAAGGGGUAUAUUGUCUUUCCAAUAAAAUAGAGAAAAUACCAGA